rnacentral:rRNA from 1 species
UACGAAGGGGGCGAGCGUUGUUCGGAAUUACUGGGCGUAAAGGGCGCGCAGGCGGCUCGACAAGUCAGAUGUGAAAGCCCCGGGCUCAACCUGGGAAUUGCAUUUGGGACUGUCGGGCUAGAGUUCGGGAGAGGUGGGUGGAAUUCCUGGUGUAGCGGUGAAAUGCGCAGAUAUCAGGAAGAACACCCGUGGCGAAGGCGGCUCUCUGGGACGGUACUGACGCUGAGACGCGAAAGCGUGGGGAGCGAACAGG